CGACCCGGUCGGCGGGACUACCCGCUGAAUUUAAGCAUAUCAAUAAAGCGGAGGAGAAGAAACUUACGAGGAUUCCCCUAGUAACGGUGAGCGAGCAGGAAGAGCCCGAGCUUGAGAAUCGGGCCUCAUCGUCUGAAUUGUAGUCCCGUAGAAGAGUCUCGGCGAUGGACCGGGCCCAAGUCCCCUAGAAUGGGCCGGGAGAGGUGCAGAGACUCGUCAUGCUGGACCCUGUCACCUGCCACGAGUAUUGUUGGUGAGUGGGUUGUUUGAAUGCAGCCCCAAUCGAGCGAUAAAUUUGGUCCAAGGCUAAAUAUGGGUGAGACCGAUAGCAAACAAGUACCGCAAGGAAAGAUGAAAAAGGACUUUGAAAGGAGUCAAAGGUGCUUGAAAUUAUCGGGAGGAAGCGGAUGGGGGCUGCGUGCGCCUCGGAUGCGGAAUGGUGUAUAGGCUGUUCUUGCUUGACUCGAGGCUUGGACCGAUCACGAGUGUGGCGGCCUAAGCACAGGGUUGUCGCCCUAUGCCCAGAGACGUAUCGUGGUAGGCAGCAUACGCCUUCAUGGCGUGCCAUUAGGCUCUUGCUGCAUCCUUCGGGUAUCGGCUGUUGAGCUCCCCAUUCGACCCGUCUUGAAACACUGAAACCAGGGAGUGACAUGUGUGCGAGUCAGGCGGGCGAGUAAACCCGUAAAGCACAAGGAAGCUAACUAGUGGGAUCCCCUAUGGGUUGCACCGAUGGCGACCUUGAUCUUCUAAGAAGGGUUGAGUGAGAGCAUACCUCGAGACCGAAAGAUGGUAAACUAUGCAGAGCGAGUGAAGCCGGAGGAAACUCUGGUGGAGGCCUAGCAAUGAUACGGACGUGCAAAUCAUUCGUAGACUUGGGUAUAGGGGCAAAAGACUAAUCGAAUAGUCUAGUAGCUGGUUCCCUCUGAAGUUUCCCUCGGGAUAGGCUGGAGCUGCUGAGGCGAGUUCUAUCGAGUAAAGCCCGAUGAUUAGAGGCAUCAGGGCGCAGCACCCUCGACCUAUUCUCAAACUUUAAGCAAUUAGAAUGGUGCGGCUGCUUCAUUGAGCCAUGCCACGAGAUCGAGAGCUCCAAGUGGGCCAUUUUUGGUAAGCGAGAAUUGGCGAUACGGGAUGAACCGGAAGCCGGGUUAUGGUGCGGAUUAUGCGCUAACCUAGAACCCACAAAGGGUGUUGGUCGAUUAAGACAACGGGGCGGUGGUCAUGGAAGUCAAAAUCUGCUAAGGAGUGUGUAACAACUCAUUUGCCGAAUCAACUAGCCCCAAAAAUGGAUGCCCGGCUGAGCGCGCAACCUAUACUCGGCCAUCGGGGCCAACUAUCGGGCCCGAUGAGUAGGAGAAGCUGCACAGCGGUGUGAUGUUAAACCACAGGGCAUGAGCCUAAGUGGAGCGGCCAUCUGUGAAGAUCUUGGUGGUAGUAGCAAAUAUUCAAAUGAGAACUUUGAAGGCCGAAGAGGGGAAAGGUUCCACGUGAGCGGCACUUGCACAUGGGUUAGUCGAUCCUAAAGGAUGGGGAAGCCCGUUAGAGAGCAUGUACACAUGCAUGCUCCGAAAGGGAAUCGGUUAAAAUUCCCAAAGCGGGAUGUGGCGGUUAACGACAGCGUUAGGAAGUCCGGAGACUUUGGUAGGGGGCCUUAGGAAGAGUUAUCUUUUCUAUUUAACAGCCUUCCCACCCUGAAAUGGCUCAGCGAGUAAGGUCUAGUGGCUAGAAGAGCACCGCACGUCGUGUGGUGUCCGUGCACCCCAGGAGGCCCUUAAAAAUCCGGAGGGGCCGAAUGCCCGACCAUGCCAUGGUCGUACUCAUAACUGCAUCGGAGUCUCCAAGGUGAACAACCUGCAGUCAAUGGAACAAUGUAGGCAAGGGAAGUCGGCAAAAUGGAUCCGUAGCCUCGGGAAAAGGAUUGGCUGCGGGGGCUGGGCACGGGGUCCCAGUCCUAAACCCAUUACUUGUCGAUGGACUGCUCGAGCUAUUUCCAUGGCGAGAGCGGUUGCCCAGCGUGCCCGUCGGGGGAUGGAUUAGGAGCGACCCCUCGGGAGCCUUCCUCGGGCGUCAAGCAGUCGACUCGAGAACUGGUACGGACAAGGAGAAUCCGACUAUUUAAUUAAAACAAAGUAUUGCGAUGGUCCCUGCGGAUGCUCACGCGAAGUGUGAUUUUUACUUGAUUGCUCACGAAUGUCAAAGUGAAGAAAUUCAACCAAAAGCGGGUAAGCAGCGGGAGUAACUAUGAGUCUCUUAAAGGUAUCCAAAUGCCUCGUCACCUAAUUAGUAGCGCAUAUGAGUGGAUUAACAAGAUUCCCCCUUUGUCCUGUCUACUAUCCGGUAAGCAAAACCAUAGCCAAGGGAAUGGGCUUGGCGAAAUCAGUGGGGAAAGAAGACCCUAUUGAGCUUGACUCGAGUCCGACUUUGUGAUAUGACUUGAAAGGUGUAGGAUAAGUGGGAUCCCGGGCAAAAGUGAAAUACCACUACUUUUAACUUUAUUUUACUUACUCCAUGAGUCGGAGGUGGGGCUACACCCCUCCUUUUGGACCUAAGGCACUGCCUCGGCAGGCCAAUUUAGGCGGAGGACAUUGUCGGGGGAGUUUGGGUGGGAGGCAAAUCCAUUAAAAGAUAAUGCACGGUGUCCUAAGAUGAGCUCAAUGAGCACAAAAAUCUCGGGUGGAACAAAAGGGUAAAAGCUUGUUUGAUUCUGAUUUCUAGUACGAAUACGAACCAUGAAAGCGUGGCCUAUCGAUCCUUUAGACCUUCAAAAUUUGAAGCUAGAGGUGUCAAAAAAGUUACCACGGGAUAAGCGCUUGUAAGCAGCGUAGCGUUCAUAGCGGCGUUGCUUUUUAAUCCUUCGAUGUCGGCUCUUCCUAUCAUUGCAAAGCAAAAAUUCGCCAAGUGUUGGAUUGUUCACCCACCAAUAGGGAACGUGAGUAUUUCAGGUUUAGACCGAGUAUCGUGAGACAGGGUUAGUUUUACCCUGCGAUGUAGUGUCGCGAUAGUAAUUCAACCUGAAGUGCGAGAGGAGCCCGUUGGUUCACAUAAUUGGUCAUCAGCGCUUGGUUGAAAAGCCAUUGGCGUGAAGCUACCGUGUGCGGAUUAUAAUUGAGCGCCUCUAAGUCGAAAUCCAGCUAAAGAAGCGACAUGCACCGUCGCCCGUUUCAGCUUUGACUUCAUGAUAGGGCCUCCCGACUUCAAGAGGCACAUGUCGUUGGCCAAGCCCCACGUGACGGACGUGUUGCGUGGGGCCGCCUUGAAGCAUAAUUCCUAUCGGGCGAUGGGUAGAAUCCUUUGUAGACGACUUAAAUACGUGAUGGGGUAUUAUAAGUGGCGAAGGAGUGGCCUUCUUACGAUCCACCUGAGAUUCAGCUCAUGUCGCAUCGAUUCGU